GCACAGAGCAUGGUAUCCGGGAAGGGGGAGAAGCUUCCACGCCUUCUCUGAGUGGAUUCCCUUCCCAGUACCUCAAUGUGUUCACCAACUCAGAAUCUCGCUGAACCCCAUUGUUUAGGAUUUUCAUGGAGGUUCCGUUAUGAAGAAUCUUAUUCAUCCAGACAGAAGAGGAGAACAAGCCUCGGAGCACCCCCAGGAGCUCUCCUGAAGCCGCCAGGAAUGGAGGAGCUCGCUUGGAAUCAGAGGCCCGUGUUCCCAACCCAGGGCUGCCCCUGCUGGAGAUGUGACCUCGGGCAGGCACACUGGGAAGCCUCUGGAAGCCCAGGCCUGCACGCGUGAAAGGGGCUGAAGACCCUCCGGCACCCACAGGAGGAUCUGCUGCAUCAGCCCAGGUGCCAGCCAGGGAAGGCUCUUGCAGAACUGGAGGCAUCCACAGGCUGUCUUCCGCACCUGAACAAGGCCCUCGUGGGGGGACUCCGCUGGCUCCGCCACUGCCUCUCCAUCCUUGAGUGACUUCCUAAGCCCACACCCAGGCUUCCAGGGCUCCUCUGAGAGCCCCCUGAAUGCAGGCGAGCUCCUCUAGUCACCCCUCUCUCUUGCCCUUCUUUAUUCCUCCAUGCCAGUUUACUCGCUCCCCAAAACAAAUCUUACCCUUUCACAGUUGACCUUAGUGGCCCUUGAGUCCAGAGCCACUGAAAUUCUGUAUCGGUUCCUCUUCCCUCCAGGACAAGGAGAGCUUAACUUCCUAUGUUAUGAGGCAGGGGAUAAUUACAUGCCAUCCUUCCAGCAGAGCAAAGAAAAUGAUUUAAAAAAAAAAAGUUUCACAUUAAAACAGGCAGAACAUUUCUAUUCUGCCAAUAUUUUAA